rnacentral:lncRNA from 1 species
GGAGAUCCCACACAGGCAGCCUCCGUUGGCGGCAGCUAUGUGGAAAGUAUGAAACUUACUUACAAGUACUAUAAUUUACUUAACUAACUAAAUAAAUAAAUAAAUAAAUAAGCUGUCAAACGUUUUCAAAUAAAGAAAGGAACCUGUCAAUGCAGUUGAAAAGAAGAUUUGCUGUGAAAAUGUAUGGGGGUAAAGGGGGUCCUCUUCUCCAAGAUCACGAAUCUGACAGCUUCAUGUCAGAUUCCCACUCUUGUGGGACUCUCAAGACUAAGCUGUCCCAUGUACCUAUUCGGUUCCUAUCAGCAGUUUGUGUGGGGCAAUUCAGACUGCACUGAACAUGGUCUAAAUACGUCUACUUGUCCGCCUCGCCCUCCUCCCUAAUUCUUUCACUGAGCUCUUUACAUUCUCGCCCUGAGAUCAGAAAUCCUAAUCUCUGAACAGUUACUCACAGAAAAUGCCUCCCCUCCAGGCCCUCAG